rnacentral:rRNA from 1 species
UACGUAGGGUCCGAGCGUUGUCCGGAAUUAUUGGGCGUAAAGGGCUCGUAGGCGGUUUGUUACGUCGGGAGUGAAAACCCAGGGCUCAACCCUGGGCCUGCUUCCGAUACGGGCAGACUAGAGGUAUGCAGGGGAGAAUGGAAUUCCUGGUGUAGCGGUGAAAUGCGCAGAUAUCAGGAGGAACACCGGUGGCGAAGGCGGUUCUCUGGGCAUUACCUGACGCUGAGGAGCGAAAGUGUGGGGAGCGAACAGG